AAGAAAAGAAGAAGCGGACAUGAAAAAUACAGACAAACCACACUAAAUUGUUGAAAUCGUGGAUACUCCAGAGACAGGCUCAAGGGGCUUUCCUGAAUGUGUGUCCAGAGCUGGAGUUAAAUGAAACCUCAGAUUUUAACAAUUUCGCUCUGCUUUUUCCUGUUCAGUUCUACAUGCUGAAGGAACUUAUCAGUCCAAUCAUCCAGAGGCAAAACAUGAACUACCAGGAUUGCAUUCCGUAAGGGAACGUCUGAUGAUUACACUAUGUUUCUUGACAACAGGAGAAAGCUUCAAGAGCCUUUCUUACCAGUUCAGAGUGGAAGUGGCAAACUACCAGUGCCCAGUCACAGUGGAAGAGUGGCAGCAAGUAGCCAAUGGGUUCCAGGCUCAGUGGAACUUUCCAAACUGCCUGACGUGAAACACGUCAACAUUUGCUACCACCAGGAACUGGAUCAACAUUCUACAACUACAAGCAUACAUUUUCCAUAGUUCUAAUAGCACUAGUCGACAGCAAUUACAGAUUCCUGCAUGUAGAUGUGGGUUGCAAUGGGUGGAUUUCAGAUGGUGGAGUGUUUGGUGGAUGCUCACUGCAGGAUGCCCUGGAGAACAAAACAUUGAACAUCCCUGCCCCUACACCACUUCCUGAAUCUGACCUGCUGGCUCCUUAUUGCGUUGUGGCAGAUGUGGCAUUUCCCUUGAAUGAGUACCUCAUGAAGCCAUAUCCAAACUGCAGGCUAUCUGUAGAGCAACGCAUCUUCAAUUACAGGCUUUCGCAAGCUCAGAGGUUGGUAGAAAAUGCAUUUGGCCUCCUAGCAAACCGUUUUCGAGUCUUUCUAACCACCAUUAAUAUUCAAAACACUGCCAAAAUGGAGGAUAUUGUUUAGGCUUGCUGUGUUCUGCACAAUUUUCUGCGUACAGAGUUAUGUGAACUGGCGGGAAUCAACCAGGAAUGACCUGAUUAUGGCACUGUCCCAGGAAGAUGGAGACAAGACCAUGACCUACAGCAGGCCUCCCUGCCACACACACAACCAACAGUACAACACAAGCCAAACAGCUCAGGGAUAAACUAUGCCAGUACUUUAAUUCAGACAUUGGUGCAGUGCCCUUUCAGUGGGGCAAAAUAUAGCAUGUAUGCAAAAUACAGGAAAAGUGUGAA